CGCGUGGGAACGUGCCCUUUGCUACGGAAUAGUCCCGGGAAACUGGGUUUAAUACCGUAUGUGCCCUCCAUUUUGGUGAUGGUUGGGGAAAGAUUUAUCGGCAAAGGAUCGGCCCGCGUUGGAUUAGGUAGUUGGUGGGGUAAUGGCCUACCAAGCCGACGAUCCAUAGCUGGUUUGAGAGGAUGAUCAGCCACACUGGGACUGAGACACGGCCCAGACUCCUACGGGAGGCAGCAGUGGGGAAUCUUAGACAAUGGGGGCAACCCUGAUCUAGCCAUGCCGCGUGAGUGAUGAAGGCCC
rnacentral:rRNA from 1 species